rnacentral:rRNA from 1 species
GGAGAGUUUGAUCCUGGCUCAGAUUGAACGCUGGCGGCAGGCUUAACACAUGCAAGUCGAACGGUAGCAGGAGGAAGCUUGCUUUCUUGCUGACGAGUGGCGGACGGGUGAGUAAUGCUUGGGAAUCUGGCUUAUGGAGGGGGAUAACUACGGGAAACUGUAGCUAAUACCGCGUAAUAUCGAAAGAUUAAAGUGUGGGACCUUCGGGCCACAUGCCAUAAGAUGAGCCCAAGUGGGAUUAGGUAGUUGGUGAGGUAAAGGCUCACCAAGCCUGCGAUCUCUAGCUGGUCUGAGAGGAUGGCCAGCCACACUGGAACUGAGACACGGUCCAGACUCCUACGGGAGGCAGCAGUGGGGAAUAUUGCGCAAUGGGGGGAACCCUGACGCAGCCAUGCCGCGUGAAUGAAGAAGGCCUUCGGGUUGUAAAGUUCUUUCGGUAUUGAGGAAGGGAUGUGUGCUAAUAGUACACGUC